GUCGAACGAGAAAGUGGAGCAAUCCAUGAGUAAAGUGGCGCACGGGUGAGUAACACGUGACUAACCUACCCUUGAGUGCGGAAUAACUUCGGGAAACCGAGGCUAAUACCGCAUAAUAUCUACGGAUCAAAGGAGCAAUUCGCUUAAGGAGGGGGUCGCGGCAGAUUAGUUAGUUGGCGGGGUAAUGGCCCACCAAGACGAUGAUCUGUAUCCGGCCUGAGAGGGCGCACGGACACACUGGAACUGAAACACGGUCCAGACUCCUACGGGAGGCAGCAGUGGGGAAUUUUGCGCAAUGGGGGAAACCCUGACGCAGCAACGCCGCGUGGAGGAUGAAAUCCCUUGGGAUGUAAACUCCUUUCGAUAGGGACGAUAAUGACGGUACCUAUAGAAGAAGCCCCGGCUAACUUCGUGCCAGCAGCCGCGGUAAUACGAGGGGGGCAAGCGUUGUUCGGAGUUAUUGGGCGUAAAGGGUGCGUAGGCGGUCUGAUAAGUCUGAUGUGAAAUCGAUGGGCUCAACCCAUCGUCUGCAUUAGAAACUGUCGGGCUUGAGUAUGGGAGAGGUGAGUGGAAUUUCCGGUGUAGCGGUGAAAUGCGUAGAUAUCGGAAGGAACACCUGUGGCGAAAGCGGCUCACUGGACCAUUACUGACGCUGAUGCACGAAAGCUAGGGGAGCAAACAGGAUUAGAUACCCUGGUAGUCCUAGCCCU
rnacentral:rRNA from 1 species